AUACGUAGGGGGCGAGCGUUGUCCGGAAUUACUGGGCGUAAAGGGCGUGUAGGCGGCCUUUCAAGUCGGCUGUGAAAUUCCCCGGCUCAACCGGGGGGGUGCAGUCGAAACUGGGGGGCUUGAGUGCAGGAGAGGGGGGUGGAAUUCCCGGUGGAGCGGUGAUAUGCGUAGAUAUCGGGAGGAACACCGGUGGCGAAGGCGACCUUCUGGCCUGUUACUGACGCUGAGGCGCGAAAGCCGGGGGAGCAAACAGGAUUAGAUACCCUGGUAGUCCCGGCCGUAAACGCUGGGUACUAGGUGUAGGGGGCUUCGAUGCCUUCUGUGCCGUAGUUAACGCAUUAAGUACCCCGCCUGGGGAGUACGAUCGCAGGGUUGAA
rnacentral:rRNA from 1 species